rnacentral:rRNA from 1 species
AUGAGGAGUGGCGGCCCUCUCGUUGGUUUGUUGGUGGCGCUCGUGGUCGUCGGCGGCGGGGCGGCGGCUGGGGCGCCCGGCAGGUGCACGACGUCGACGCCGGUGAAGGCGUACGCCAAGUGCAUCGCGCUGCCGACGCAGGGCGCGACGCUGGCGUGGACGUACGACGCGCGCAACGCCACGCUGGACGCGGCCUUCACGGGGUCCUUCAUCUCGCCGUCGGGCUGGGUGGCGUGGGGCGUCAACCAGGACGCGCCGGCCAUGGCCGGGGCGCGCGUCAUCGCCGCCUUCUCCGACCCGUCCACGGGCGCGCUGCUCGCGCUCCCCUUCGUGCUCUCCGCCGACGUCAAGCUCCAGGCCAAGCCCCUGGUGUCCCGCCCGCUCGACAUCCCGCUGCUCGCCUCCUCGGCGUCCCUCAUCGCGCCGGCCCGCACCGUCCGCGACGGCGCGUCGGUGACCAUCGCCGCCACCAUCCGCCUCUCCCCGAACCGCACCAGGGUCCACUUCGUGUGGAACCGGGGCCUGUACGUGCAGGGCUACUCCCCGACCAUCCACCCCACGGACGCCUCCGACCUGGCGUCGCACGCCACCGUCGACAUCCUCACCACGGCCACGGAGUCCUCCCCGAUCGCGUCCGCCAGGCUGCAGUGGGCGCACGGCUCCCUCAACGCGCUCUCCUGGGGCCUCCUGCUCCCGGUCGGCGCAGCCCUGGCGCGGUACCUCCGGCCCUGCGCCUCCGCCGGCCCAGCGUGGUUCUACGGGCACGCGGCGGUGCAGGCGACGGGGUACGCGCUGGGGGCGGCCGGGUUCGCGCUGGGGAUCGCGAUGGGGGCGGCGUCGCCCGGGGUGACGUACAAGCUGCACCGCGGGCUGGGCAUCGCGGCGGCGACGGCGGGGAGCCUGCAGACGCUGGCGGUGUUCUUCCGGCCCAAGACGACCAACCGGUACCGCAAGUACUGGAAGUCGUACCACCACCUGGUGGGGUACGGGUGCGUGGUGGUCGGGGUGGUGAACGUCUUCCAGGGCUUUGAGGUCAUGGGGCUCGGCGCCUCCUACUGGAAGCUCGGCUACUGCAUGGCGCUGGCGACGCUCGUCGGCGGCUGCGUGGCGCUGGAGGUGAACGCCUGGGUGGUGUUCUGCCGGCGGCAACACGAGGAGAAGCUCAUGCGGCGGGAGGUCGAGGACGUCGUCGUCAAGGACAGGGCCGCCGCAUUCUAG